CCGGUGGCUACAGCUCUGUUUAGACCCCUAGCCUGGGAACCUCCAUAUGCCAUGGGUGCUGCCCUAGAAAAGACAAAAGAAAAAAAGAAAAAAAGCCUCCCAACAGCAUCAUGCAUGGAAGGGUGGAAAUGCACUGACUCCUAAAUGGUGUUUCCUAACUAAUUUCUGCUGCAACGCCAGCCUUCUCCUUUUAGCUUGAGGAUGAUUUCAUCCGAUAAACAUGUGGCUUCAAAUUAUGGCCUUAUAUAAACGAAGCAGCUAUACUACACUUUCUGGAGGCCCCCGGCCGCCUUAUUUUCCGAUCAAUUCCGAAUUGUUCCCUAAGCUAAUAGGCAGAACCUGGCUUUUUCGUGCUGGAGGUCUUGGCCAGGCCUUGGGAGUGGCUUAUUCACUUUUAUCCACUUGCCCCCAGCACUGAAUUUUUGGUGGCCUCCCCCUCUUCCCCACACCUUCUUUCUCUGAGAGCAAGAGAGAAAGGCCCUGAAUCAAGGUUCAUGUCUCAAAGGGCGGCAAGGAUACCAGUGUGGUGUUUACAAAAAGCCUUUUAAUGUUUCACUGUUCAGAUUUUUCAUUGGGAAUUCUUUUCAUUGUGCACAGAAGAUUGGCUGUUAGUAACAUGGAGUAAAUUCACAAUGAUGUGCGACCACCACCUCUGUCUAGUUCUGAAACAUUUCCAGUACUCCAGAAGGAGACCCUGUGUCCAUAAGCUGUCACUCCCUACCCCCUCACCCAGCUCCUGCAGCCGCUCAUCUGCUUUUUGUCUCUGUGGAUUUGCCUGCCUCCGGACCUUUUAUAUCAAUGGGAUCAUACUUCAUAUAUGGCUUCUGUAACUCAGCAUGAUGUUUUGGAGGUUUGUCCACAUUGUAGCAUGUGUCAGGGCCUCACACUUUUUUAUGACUGAGUAAUAUUCCACCAUGUAGAUGGAUCACAUGUUGUUUAUCUACUCAUCCUUUUUUUUUUCUUUUGUAUAGCCACACCUGUGGCACAUGGAAGUUCCUGGGCCAGGGGUAGAAUCAGAGCUGCAGCUGCCAGCCUACACCACAGCUACAGCAAUGCCAGAUCCGAGCUGCAUCUGCAGCAUACGCCACAGCUUGCAGCAAGGGGGGCGAUCCUAACCCACUGAGCAAGGCCAGGGACUGAACCUGUAUCCUCAUAGGUACUAGUUGGGUUCUUAACCUCUGAGCCACAGUGGGAACUCCUAUCUACUCAUCCUUUGAUGAGCGUUUUGUUUCCACCAUUUUGGCUCUUUCAUUCAGGAAUUUUAUAGUCUGCCAGUUUUAUUUCCGUUUAGUGAUGAGGGCAUAGUUCUCCUGUGAACUCUGGGUAGACAGAUUCUCUCGGUUUAGGGAUGGGUUUUGCUUCCUGUUCACAGUGUGCGUGUUUCCCUGAGCAUUAGUCAGAAGGCAGAACAGGCAUUUAACUUCAGGGCAUUUGGAGAGGCGGUUUGGCUCCAGCACAGACACACAGGUUUUCAGUACCUGCUGCCGUCAAGACAGGGCUACAGCCAGGACCUUAAGCCACAGCGUGACUGGCUUCCAGGUCUCAGGUUCUGUUAGGAUUCGGUGAGAAAGGCGUGCUUGGAAAGCCAGAGAAAACAGCUGAGCCCCUCCAAAAGAAAUGUCACUCUUUAAGGUCAUCCCUUAAGCUGUGGUAAUCACAGCAGCAUGGCACCGCAUAGGUAUCAGCAGCGCAGAGGCAGACCCGUGUGUGUGUGUGUGUGUGUGUGUGUGUGUGUGUGUGUGUGUGUGUGUGUGAUGUAAUGGAUGAUUUUUAACAAAGGAGGCUCCCUGGUCUGGGCAGAGAUGGAGACUUUAAUAAGAAACAUUAUGAGGAGUUCCCAUUGUGGCUCGGUAGGUUAAGAACCGGACUAACGUCUGAUGAUGUGGGUUCGAUCCCAGGCCUCGCUCAGUGGGCUAAGGAUCUGACAUUGCCUCCAGCUGCAGUGUAGGUAACAACUGCAGCUCAGAUCCACGUUGCUGCAGCUGCAGUGUAGGCCAGCAGCUUCAGCUCCAAUUUGACCCCUAGCCUAGGAACUUCCAUAUGUCACUGUGAAGCCAUAAAAAACAAAAAAAUAAAAAACAUGGAGUUCCCGCUAUUGGGCAGCAGUUAAUGAACCCAACUCAGAUCCAAGAGGAUGCAGGUUCAAUCCCUGGCCACACCCAGUAGGUCAAGGAUCUGGCGUUGCCGUGAGCCAUGGUGUAGGACACAGACAUGGCUAGGAUCCUGCAUUGCUGUGGCUGUGGUGUAGGCGGGCAGCUGUAGCUCAGAUUCAACCCCUAGCCUGGGAACUUCCAUAUGCCAAGAGUGCAGCCCUAAAAAGCAAAAAUAAAUAAAUAAGUAAAUAAUUUUUAAAAACUACAAACACAGAAGUGUCCGUUGUGGCUCAGCAGGUUAAGAACCCGACAUAGUGUCUGUGAGGAUGCAGGUUUGAUUCCAGGCCUCGCUUAGGGUGUUAAGGACCCAGUGUUGCCUCAAGCUAUGGCGUAGGUGGAAGAUGUGGCUCAGAUCUGGUGUUGGUGUGGCUGUGGCGCAGGCUGGCAGCUGCAGCUCUUAUUCAACCUAUAGGCCACAGGUGUAGCAGUUUACAAAAAAAAUUACAAACAAAAAACCAUUAAAACAAUUGAUUCACUCUUUGGAGACCAUCUGGAUCAUCUUCUCUGUUUUUUGGCUGCACUUGCGGCCUGUGGAAGUUCCCUGCGAAGGACUGAACCCACAACAGCCAUAGCCUGAGCCACAGCUGUGACAAUCCUGGAUCCUUAACCCACUAAGCCACUAGGAAACUCCUAGAUCCUCCUUUCACUUUCCACGCUGUACUGGGUCGACAAGUGUCCCUUGAAGUUCAUGUCUGCUCAGAACUUUAGAGUGUGACCUUGAUUGGAAGUAAGGUCUUUGCAGAUGUGAUUAAAGGUCUCAAAGCGACUUCAUCCUGAAUCCAAUAACUGGUGUCUUUAUACGAGGAAGAGAGGACACAGAGACAGUGAACGCUACCAUGUGCUGUUGGGAAAGGAAAUCAGAGGGGUGUACAUCUACAAGCCAAGGAGCAGUGAGGGUCCCCCAAAGCUGGAGAGGCACGAGACCCUGUCUCCCUCCGAGCCUCUGAAGGGAGCCAUCCCCACCCCCACCUUGAGUUUGCAUUCAUCCUGAAACCCGAGACAGUGUAUUUCUCUUGUUUUAAGCCACCUGGUUUGUGGUACUUUGUUAGAGCAGCCCUAGCAAACUCUUACCCCCCCCACCCCCGCCAGUAUAACUUCCAGAUGGAUAAAAGCUUAAAUGUAAGAAGUCCAGGGAGGGAGAGGAGUGCAGAAGGUGAUUCCAUGUUCAUCAGAUCUGGGAGAGGAGUGGGCGGCAGACAUCAUGAAAUGACCCACAGAUCCAGCUGCUGGGGAAUACAGUAUUUGUAUCCAAAAACACCAUACUUAGAAGUAAAUUGGGGAGUUCCCGUCGUGGAGCAGUGGAAACAACCUGACUAAGAACCAUGCGGGUUUGAUCCCUGCCCUCGCUCAGUGGGUUAAGGAUCCGGUGUUGCCGUGAGCUGUGGUAUAGGUCACAGAUGCGGCUCGCAUCCCAUGUUUAUGUGGCUCUGGCGUAGGCUGGCGGCUACAGCUCCAGUUCUACCCCUAGUCUGGGAAUCUUUAUAUGCCGCGGGUGUGACCCUAAAAGGACAAAAGACAAAAGACAAAAAAAAGUAAAAAUAAAAAAAAA
rnacentral:lncRNA from 1 species